GAUGAAGAACGUAGCGAAAUGCGAUAAGUAAUGUGAAUUGCAGAAUUCAGUGAAUCAUCGAAUCUUUGAACGCACCUUGCGCUCUUUGGUAUUCCGAAGAGCAUGCCUGUUUGAGUGUCAUGAAAAUAUCAACCUUGACUUGGGUUUUGUGCUCUAGUCUCGGCUUGGAAUUGGGUGCUUGCCGCUUUUACGAGCGGCUCACCUUAAAUGUAUUAGCUGGAUCUGUCUUUGAGACUUGGUUUGACUUGGCGUAAUAAGUAUUUCGCUAAGGACAUUCUUCGAGUGGCCUCGUUUCUAGGACGCUUGUCCGCUUUCCAAUACAAGUUCCACCUCGUGGACAUGACUUUUUAUUAUCUGGCCUCAAAUCAGGUAGGACUACCCGCUGAACUUAAGCAUAUCAAUAAGCGGAGGA
rnacentral:misc_RNA from 1 species